CCUAUGGAGAGUAGAAGAACUUGUGAGUAGUAUUUGAAUUUAGUCCAUACGAAAGCGUACUUGAUGAAGUAGGAA
rnacentral:ncRNA from 1 species